UUGGGCACAAUGAAGAAGUUGCUAAUGAUUGGGUGAGGCAAUGUCUGAUGGGUAUACCUAUGAGUCCUUUUCAUUCUGAGUGCCCA